UACAGAGGCCUCGAGCGUUAAUCGGAGUCACUGGGCUUAAAGGGUGCGUAGGCGGGCCCGCAAGUGUCUUGUGAAAUCCCACGGCUCAACCGUGGAAUGGCUCGACAGACUGCGGGUCGUCGAGGGAGGUGAGGGGCAUGUGGAACUUCCGGUGGAGCGGUGAAAUGCGUAGAUAUCGGAAGGAACGCCGGUGGCGAAAGCGACGUGCUGGACCUCUUCUGACGCUGAGGCGCGAAAGCGUGGGGAGCAAACAGG
rnacentral:rRNA from 1 species